GACAGAGGGUGCAAACGUUGUUCGGAAUUACUGGGCGUAAAGCGCGUGUAGGCGGUUAUGCAAGUCGGGUGUGAAAUCCCCGGGCUCAACCCGGGAACUGCGUCCGAUACUGGCAGGCUUGAAUCCGGGAGAGGGAUGCGGAAUUCCAGGUGUAGCGGUGAAAUGCGUAGAUAUCUGGAGGAACACCGGUGGCGAAGGCGGCAUCCUGGACCGGCAUUGACGCUGAGGCGCGAAAGCCAGGGGAGCAAACGGG
rnacentral:rRNA from 1 species